rnacentral:rRNA from 1 species
CGGGAGGCAGCAGUGGGGAAUAUUGCACAAUGGGCGAAAGCCUGAUGCAGCGACGCCGCGUGAGGGAUGACGGCCUUCGGGUUGUAAACCUCUUUCAGCAGGGACGAAGCGCAAGUGACGGUACCUGCAGAAGAAGCACCGGCUAACUACGUGCCAGCAGCCGCGGUAAUACGUAGGGUGCAAGCGUUGUCCGGAAUUACUGGGCGUAAAGAGUUCGUAGGCGGUUUGUCGCGUCGUUUGUGAAAACCAGCAGCUCAACUGCUGGCUUGCAGGCGAUACGGGCAGACUUGAGUACUGCAGGGGAGACUGGAAUUCCUGGUGUAGCGGUGAAAUGCGCAGAUAUCAGGAGGAACACCGGUGGCGAAGGCGGGUCUCUGGGCAGUAACUGACGCUGAGGAACGAAAGCGUGGGUAGCGAACAGGAUUAGAUACCCUGGUAGUCCACGCCGUAAACGGUGGGCGCUAGGUGUGGGUUCCUUGCACGGAAUCCGUGCCGUAUCUCACGCAU